rnacentral:rRNA from 1 species
AUUGAACGCUGGCGGCAGGCUUAACACAUGCAAGUCGAGCGAGCGGCGGACGGGUGAGUAAUGUCUGGGAGACUGCCUGAUGGAGGGGGAUAACUCCUGGAAACGGUAGCUAAUACCGCAUACCCUCAGAUGUGCCCAGAUGGGAUGAGCUAGUAGGUGGGGUAAUGGCUCACCUAGGCGACGAUCACUAGCUGGUCUGCGAGGAUGACCAGCAAAACUGGAACGGAGACAAGGUCCAGACUCCUGCGGGAGGCAGGAGUGGGGAAGAUUGCACAAUGGGCGCAAGCCUGAUGCAGCCAUGCCGCGUGUGGGAAGAAGGCCUUCGGGUUGUAAAGCACUUGCAGCGAGGAGGCGUUACUCGCAGAAGAAGCACCGGCUAACUCCGUGCCAGCAGCCGCGGUAAUAC